UUACUCGGUUCUUUAUUACAUGGCAAUGUUCAGUCGUCCAUAGAUCCAACACCGAAGGAAUAUGCAAUGUACGUGUCGUUUCUUGGUGAGAUUUGGGUGAGAGCAUUAAGACUUUUGGUUCUUCCUUUGAUUGUAUCAAGCUUGCUUUUGGCAGUCGCUGAAUUGGAGUCAAAACAGAGCGGAAAAUUGUGAAGAAGAACAUUGCUGUAUUAUCUUAUGACUACAAUGUUUGGGGAGUAAUUUGUUUAUUUGCAUUUAACCUGGAAAUGCUAACGUGAAAGAACCAGAACCGAACGAAGAAAAAGUUGAAGCAAUACAUUCUGUGCUUGAUCUUACAAGAUAAAUCCCAUUUCACCACCUACCUAUGUUGUCAUGACAACAACAAUGAAUUGAGAAGAAGGUUUAAAAGCUUUGGAAACAUCUAUCUAAGCCAUUGAAGAAGUCAUUAUGAAUAAGAAAGGAACAUUUGUUUUACAACAAGCUGAAGCACGGCAAAUCUUUGCCUCGUGAUCAAUGGUAAUUAUCGGAAUUAGCGGGAAAAACUACGUCAGAGGUCUGGUACCGACACAGAGACGCGAUUCUUGUCAUUUCUUUAUGGAUAGUACGCCGUCGAUUGAAGCUCCUCAGUUCGUAGAUAUAUAAAAAUUGCCAAAUACCAGCUGUUAUCCUUCUGUAAAAAAUGCCUCCUUGUUUAUCAAAAUCAAUAAUGAGAGACGUCUACUGCACUAUGCUCGAAAAAAGACCUGAGCGAAGUCCUUUCGUUAGAACUGAUAUGUACGAUAUUGUGAGCUUGCUUCACAUGUCGAAUGAGUUGGUUGAAAAGAGAUCAUGAAGGAAUAUGCAAUGUACGUGUCCUUUCUUGGUGAGAUUUGGGUGAGGGCUUUAAGACUUUUGGUUCUUCCUUUGAUUGUAUCCUGCCUGCUUUUGGCAGUCGCUGAAUUGGAGUCAAAACGGAGCGGAAAAUUGGGAAGAAGAACAUUGCUGUAUUAUCUUAUGACUACAAUGUUUGGGGAGUAAUUUGUUUAUUUGCAUUUAACCUGGAAAUGUUAACGUGAAAGAACCAGAACCGAACGAAGAAAAAGUUGAACCAAUACAUUCUGUGCUUGAUCUUACAAGAUAAAUCCCAUUUCACCACCUACCUAUGUUGUCACGACAACAACAAUGAAUCAAGAAGAAGGUUUGAAAGCUUUGGAAACAUCUAUCAAAGCCAUUGAAGAAGUCAUUAUGAACAAGAAAGGAACAUUUGUUUUACAACAAGCUAGCUGCAAAAUUUCGACAAUGACUUCACGAAAGCGUUGCUACAAUGGAUUAAAACAUGCCAAACAACAUAUGAUAUUAUUUUUCAUUUUAUUCGGCGUACUUUGUGGAUUUUUACUUGGUUCUUUAUUACAUGGCACUGUUCAGUCGUCCAUAGAUCCAACACCGAAGGAAUAUGCAAUGUAUGUGUCGUUUCUUGGUGAGAUUUGGGUGAGAGCAUUAAGACUUUUGGUUCUUCCUUUGAUUGUAUCCAGCUUGCUUUUGGCAGUCGCUGAAUUGGAGUCAAAACGGAGCGGAAAAUUGUGAAGAAGAACAUUGCUGUAUUGUCUUAUGACUACAAUGUUUGGGGAGUAAUUUGUUUAUUUGCAUUUAACCUGGAAAUGUUAUCGUGAAAGAACCAGAACCGAACGAAGAAAAAGUUGAACCAAUACAUUCUGUGCUUGACGUAAUAAGAUAAAUCCCAUUUCACCACCUACCUAUGUUGUCAUGACCAUAACAAUGAAUCAAGAAGGUUUGAAAGCUUUGGAAACAUCUAUCAAAGCCAUUGAAGAAGUCAUUCUGAACAAGAAAGGAACAUUUGUUUUACAACAAGCUCCAAAGGUUGUCACAGAUAUGGAUGAAGCAGACUUUGCAAAGGAACUGGAAAAACUUGAAUGUCAAAAUGCAGAAGUUGAUGGUGAUGACGAUAAUCCUGAUGAUGAAGAAAAACAAGAUGAAGCAUAAAUGAUUGUGGUUUGUUUUAAAACUUGCUGUGUUUUAUUUUUAUCAUACACUACCUGCAGUUGCCUUGAACAAUAAUUUGUUUAACUUCAAACUCCAUUCAAACCCUAUACAUUACAAACACAAUUAUUUUCUAUUGACGAUCCGAAAUAGAUAUUUCAUUGUCAGUAUUUCGCGAGGCAGUUUUUGAAGGUCCCCUGUUCGGGUUAAACUGCAGCUCUGAAUUUGUAGUUUGUGAUGAAUAGGACAUUUGUCAUCGUGAAACUAUUGUAAAUGCCAAGUCGUUGAAAUGAAAGCAUAUUUAGAAAAGAGAUUAUUAAAUUAAAUAUUGCUAACAAUUUC